rnacentral:rRNA from 1 species
CAAGUCGAGCGGAAAGGCCCUUCGGGGUACUCGAGCGGCGAACGGGUGAGUAACACGUGAGUAAUCUGCCCCAUGCUUCGGGAUAGCCAGCCGAAAGGCUGAUUAAUACCGGAUACGACACUCCCCGGCAUCGGGUGGGUGUGGAAAGUUUUUUCGGCGUGGGAUGUGCUCGCGGCCUAUCAGCUUGUUGGUGGGGUAAUGGCCUACCAAGGCUUCGACGGGUAGCCGGCCUGAGAGGGUGACCGGCCACACUGGGACUGAGACACGGCCCAGACUCCUACGGGAGGCAGCAGUGGGGAAUAUUGGACAAUGGGCGGAAGCCUGAUCCAGCAACGCCGCGUGAGGGAUGACGGCCUUCGGGUUGUAAACCUCUUUCAGCACAGACGAAGUGCAAGUGACGGUAUGUGCAGAAGAAGCGCCGGCUAACUACGUGCCAGCAGCCGCGGUAAUACGUAGGGCGCAAGCGUUGUCCGGAAUUAUUGGGCGUAAAGAGCUCGUAGGCGGUUUGGUAAGUCAGGUGUGAAAUCUCCACGCUCAACGUGGAGGGGCCACCUGAUACUGCCAUGAUGGAGUCCGGUAGAGGAGUGUGGAAUUCCCGGUGUAGCGGUGAAAUGCGCAGAUAUCGGGAGGAACACCCGUAGCGAAGGCGGCACUCUGGGCCGGUACUGACGCUGAGGAGCGAAAGCGUGGGGAUCAAACAGGAUUAGAUGCCCUGGUAGUCCACGCCGUAAACGUUGGGCACUAGGUGUGGGGCUCUAUCGACGGGUUCCGUGCCGCAGCUAACGCAUUAAGUGCCCCGCCU